GACGUAGGGCGCGAGCGUUGUCCGGAUUUUAUUGGGCGUAAAGAGCUCGUAGGCGGCUUGUCGCGUCGACUGUGAAAACCCGCGGCUCAACUGUGGGCUUGCAGUCGAUACGGGCAGGCUGGAGUUCGGUAGGGGAGACUGGAAUUCCUGGUGUAGCGGUGAAAUGCGCAGAUAUCAGGAAGAACACCCGUGGCGAAGGCGGCUCUCUGGGACGGUACUGACGCUGAGACGCGAAAGCGUGGGGAGCGAACAGG
rnacentral:rRNA from 1 species